rnacentral:lncRNA from 1 species
CUGGAUUCCAGGAAUGCCCUGGGCUCCGGCCUGACCUUAACCGUCUAGGCCUGCUGCCACCAGGACACCUUCCACCAGGACGGGGAGUGCCUCCCUCCCCAGGUCAGGCUCCCCAGCCUCCAAUCUGGCCAAGAACCACGCGCCACUCACAGGGCGGAUGGCGCCACCUGGCGACGCGAAGGGUCCAGCUCCCCGCAGAAGCUUCAUCACCCGCGAGCUAGGAG